AGCAUCAGGGCAAAAUUGCAGAGUAAUUUCUGAUGCUAUUUUAUCCAAUGUUAUCUCGGUAAUCCUCUGCCAAAAUCAUCUCAAUCUUUACAAAUGGUAACUUCGGGAGUCAUCAAACUUGUGGAGAGAAACAGUUUUCAGACUCGGGUAGGAACUGUCUGCCUUAUUAUGAAACGAAAGGACGAUGGGCGGUUCAUUCAACAUCAGACUCAAUGCGUUCAAUAGGACCAUAUGAAUAGGACGGGCAGAGCACCACUUGCGUGUGGUGACGUAAAGGUGACCAGUUCAAGGCAAGAGGAAUGUGAAACUUGACUUAUCUCAUACUCUAUCUUUAACAGUGAGCGUGGUUAAAAUGGACUCUACGAG